rnacentral:rRNA from 1 species
AGUGAACGCUGGCGGCGUGCCUAAUACAUGCAAGUCGAACGGAGAUUAAGUAGCUUGCUAUUUACUCUUAGUGGCGCACGGGUGAGUAAUAUAUAGCUAACUUGCCCAUUACUAAGGGACAACAGUUGGAAACGACUGCUAAUACCUUAUACUCCGUAUCUAUAUAAGUAGAUACGGGAAAGUUUUUCGGUAAUGGAUAGGGCUAUAUCGUAUCAGCUAGUUGGUAAGGUAAUGGCUUACCAAGGCUAUGACGCGUAACUGGUCUGAGAGGAUGAUCAGUCACAAUGGAACUGAGACACGGUCCAGACUCCUACGGGAGGCAGCAGUAGGGAAUAUUGCUCAAUGGGGGAAACCCUGAAGCAGCAACGCCGAGUGAAGGAUGACACUUGUCGGAGCGUAAACUCCUUUUCUUGGGAAAGAAUUAUGACGGUACCCAAGGAAUAAGCACCGGCUAACUCCGUG